rnacentral:rRNA from 1 species
ACGUACACUCCUACGGGAGGCAGCAGUGGGGAAUAUUGGACAAUGGGGGCAACCCUGAUCCAGCCAUGCCGCGUGAGUGAUGAAGGCCCUAGGGUUGUAAAGCUCUUUUGUGCGGGAAGAUAAUGACGGUACCGCAAGAAUAAGCCCCGGCUAACUUCGUGCCAGCAGCCGCGGUAAUACGAAGGGGGCUAGCGUUGCUCGGAAUCACUGGGCGUAAAGGGUGCGUAGGCGGGUCUUUAAGUCAGGGGUGAAAUCCUGGAGCUCAACUCCAGAACUGCCUUGGAUACUGAGGAUCUUGAGUCCGGAAGAGGUGAGUGGAACUGCGAGUGUAGAGGUGAAAUUCGUAGAUAUUCGCAAGAACACCAGUGGCGAAGGCGGCUCACUGGUCCGGUACUGACGCUGAGGCACGAAAGCGUGGGGAGCAAACAGGAUUAGAAACCCGGGUAGUCCCA